AACCGCAAAACAAGCAGAGGGGGCUUAGUGGUGGGGUGACUGCGUACCUUUUGUAUAAUGGGUCAGCGACUUAUAUUCUGUAGCAAGGUUAACCGAAUAGGGGAGCCGGAGGGAAACCGAGUCUUAAUUGGGCGUUAAGUUGCAGGGUAUAGACCCGAAACCCGGUGAUCUAGCCAUGGGCAGGUUGAAGGUUGGGUAACACUAACUGGAGGACCGAACCGACUAAUGUUGAAAAAUUAGCGGAUGACCUGUGGCUGGGGGUGAAAGGCCAAUCAAACCGGGAGAUAGCUGGUUCUCCCCGAAAGCUAUUUAGGUAGCGCCUCGUGAAUUCAUCUCCGGGGGUAGAGCACUGUUUCGGCUAGGGGGCCAUCCCGGCUUACCAACCCGAUGCAAACUGCGAAUACCGGAGAAUGUUAUCACGGGAGACACACGGCGGGUGCUAACGUCCGUCGUGAAGAGGGAAACAACCCAGACCGCCAGCUAAGGUCCCAAAGUCAUGGUUAAGUGGGAAACGAUGUGGGAAGGCCCAGACAGCCAGGAUGUUGGCUUAGAAGCAGCCAUCAUUUAAAGAAAGCGUAAUAGCUCACUGGUCGAGUCGGCCUGCGCGGAAGAUGUAACGGGGCUAAACCAUGCACCGAAGCUGCGGCAGCGAACGUAUCACCCAAGACAACUUUACGGAGUUGACGAUUGACGGAGCGAAGCGACGUCAAAGCGUUCAUUAAAGUCGAGUUGGCUUAGGGAUACGUUCGUUGGGUAGGGGAGCGUUCUGUAAGCCUGUGAAGGUGUGUCGUGAGGCAUGCUGGAGGUAUCAGAAGUGCG
rnacentral:rRNA from 1 species